rnacentral:rRNA from 1 species
AAGCGUGCGCAGGCGGUUUUGUAAGACUGUCGUGAAAUCCCCGGGCUCAACCUGGGAAUGGCGAUGGUGACUGCAAGGCUAGAGUUUGGCAGAGGGGGGGUAGAAUUCCACGUGUAGCAGUGAAAUGCGUAGAUAUGUGGAGGAACACCGAUGGCGAAGGCAGCCCCCUGGGUCAAAACUGACGCUCAUGCACGAAAGCGUGGGGAGCAAACAGGAUUAGAUACCCUGGU